rnacentral:misc_RNA from 1 species
AACUGAUACUACCUGCGGGAACCUGCGGAAGGAUCAUUAAUGAGUACGGGUCCUGUCGGGCCCCAUCUCCAACCCUGUGACUACUUACCUAUGUUGCUUUGGCGGGCCCGCUCCCCUGGACCGCCGGGGGCCUGUUGGUCCCUGGCCAGUGCCCGCCAGUAGCCUUAAACUCUUAUAAUGUCUGUCGUCUGAGUACUCUUUGAAUAAACAAAAACUUUUAGCAACGGAUCUCUAGAUCGG